UCCAACCAAGCUCCCGUCUACUCUUCAGUAGAUCCUCUGGUGGAACAAAGGGCCCUUUUGCAGCAGCGGCUACUGUAAUGGAAGCAGGAAGCCCACUAGACACAGAAGAAACAGGUAAGGGAAAAGGGCUAAUUAGCUGAAUCGCAGAAGAGCAUCCAGGUGCUCUCAAAUCACUCGACUCCCCAUAUUUCCCAUCAUCAGAAAUAAAGCCUUCAUUCAGAUCAAAUUCAACUUUUGCUUCCAGAUCCGAUCCCCCUGUAGCAGAUAAAGAAGAAGCAGCAGCAGGGGCAGACAUACAUUCCUCAGUUUCAUCAGCUCCAGUGCCAGCCAAAGUUGACCUUGUUGACACUACUAGUUCUGGUGCCUGAACAAGUGUGGGUGCUGCCUUGUGAGCAGCUGGUCUGGCACUACAUUGCUCAUUGACCUGAAUGCCUCCGAAGCUCUCCACCUUGCACUCACCUUCAUAAUCAGUUGUGGCUGAGGCUGUAUUACAUUCAUGUUCAAUUUUAUUUUUCUCAGUAGAAUGACUCCUACCAUCUGUUUCACCAGCUUUCACAUCAUGCAUGUUUUCAGAAACCACAUCCUUGCCAGAACAAGAAGGUUCGAGCACUUCAUCAUUGGUUCCUUUUGCAAAAUCAGACUGCAACAUAGCAGGUGGUUUUGGCUCAUCCCCAAUAGAAACAUCCAGCUCUUUAUUCAUAUUUUUCUUGUUCUCACCAUCAGUCUCUACAGGAUGGUUUGUUGAUGAUACAUCAAUUGCAUCAGUCCCAUCUUGCACUCCUGUAUUGUUGAUCUCAUUUAAGACAGAACCAUGCAACUUUUCUUUUUCAUCAGAUAUGCCAUCUAAAUUUGAUCUGCCACCACCCUCUUUCUCCCACAGCUCCUUGCCCCUACAAUUUGAUGUUUUCACAGCCAUGCUAGCAGAGGACACAGCAGCUAAUAGUAUUUCCUCUGAUUUCACAUUGCUUUCUAGGCAUGGUUCAGCAAUUUUCUUCCCAUCCACAUGGGAAGAAUUGGGAGGUCCAUUGAGCUCCCCUGUGCGUUUUUCUUGUGAAAACAGAACUGUUUUAGCCCCUAUGUUCUUGGACAGUGAAGUGCCAACAGUAAUACCACGCUUCUCAUCUUCAUCAUCAACAGGCUUACCUUGGCUUUGAGCAGGAACAUCACGUGGUGAUGAUUUUGCUCUCGAACCACUUGGUGCGCAGGGGUGCUCGAUAGGCAUGUUUCUCCGUGGAGAAGCUGUUGGUGAAACCAUAUCAGACUUGGACAUCUCCCCGGCAGCUACACUAGCAAGCAGAUUCAUACCAACAUCAUCACCAACUGACAUAGAUGCAUUCCCAUCAGAGUAUUUUGCACAACUUUCAAUCAAAGCAUUCAUGGAGCUGAAAGAUGCAUCAUGCAGCUUCCCAAAUUUAUGUUCGUACACAUUUGAAGAGGGUGUAGCUUUUGAGACUUCACCUAAUUUACUAGCAUCAUCACCCAUACAACCAUGCUCUUCAUCAGGAACAGUGGCAGGCGACCCAUCACCCUCAUCUGACCCAGUCAGCACCUCUUUGAAAUCAUUGCUUUGCCACGACUCGGUCUUAACAUCUGAUGCAAUAUUAGCUUGAUAUGAAUUAAUUUUUUCCUUCAAAUUAUGAUCAAACUGGUCAUGCCUCCCCGAAGGCACAGGAGAAGAAUCUCUGCUAUUCAUGACUGAAGUGUCUUCCAAAGUCCCCCCACUGGAACUUUGUGCAGGACUGCGACCUUUGGUGGGAAUUUUAACAAUGAAUUUAUGACUGAACCCUUCAGCCGUUGGAACAUCAAGUGCCUUAUCGCAUGCCAAACUGGACUGUUGUAAUUUCUCUGAACCUGGAUUUCUGUGCAAGGGAGAACUUCUGCUCGACCCACUAUCCCUUUGGACCCCAGAUACAGCUGGGCCUGGAAACCCAUUAACUGAUUUACGUUGCCGCAAAGAACCACCAAUGAUCUUAUUUGUUGCCAUUGAAACAGCAGUAGAGCUCCUUGCAUCCUCCUUUCCCGGCAAUCCUGAAGUUUUGGCAUGGUCACUAGAACAAGAUUGACUAUUGUUGAGGGACUGACUGGAACUGCUGCUUUUCUCAUCCCUUGCUGCAGAUGCAGGUAGAUCUGAGGCGCCACUGACACCAAUAUUUCUGAGCUGUUCAUCUUUCAAAUUAUUACCAACUGUGCCAGGUGAUGCUGUCGAUUUUAUGGGGCCUGGAGAUGAUGCAGACUUGGUCACAGUCUCCCCCUGGACAAGCUUGACUGGACCACUUUUCGAAGCAGAGAGUUGCACAACUGAGCUCUUCAUUGCAAUCUCUGAGGAUAAACCAGAUGGUCUAUUCCCCACCUGCGAAACUUCAGGAAUGCGAGAUCUAGUAGACCAGGUGACACCUUGGUUAGAGCUAAACUUUGCAUUUGCAUCCAUUUCAGCCUCAACCCGUUUCUUCCACAUGUCAACUAAACUCCUUGCUUUCUUCUGUAUUUCCAAAUUCUUAUGCGUCCGCAAAUGAUUCACAGAUUUGCCAAUAUUACACAUUUGCAGAGCAUGAAGAUUUAUAGGGAGUUUAUCCAGUGCAUGAAGCAAAACUAAUAAAAAUUCCUCAACAGAUCUAUCACUAUCCUUGGGGCUACUACCAUCACCGAUCUUCCCUUUAUGCACCUCCUGCAGCCAUUCAUCAAAUACAGGCAAGCCCCUCAGCUGCACAAACCGAUUUAAGCAAUCAAACUUAUCUGUGGCUGCUAUCACACCAGCUAGCAUUGACCGGCCAACCAAAUCUACUUUUCUCUCGUUCCUCUCAGGUAGCAUGAGACGCACCAAUUUCUCAACCCCUUCAGAAUCCACAAGUCCCCCCUUCUCUGUAAAUUUAGAAAUCUCAGAUUUCCAAAUGCUUUCUGGUCUAUGAACAGAAUCCACAUCAUCCAUUUUAGAAAAACGUUCUCGUUUAAUGGGCUCAGACCCCUGAUCUCCACGCUCCCUUUUCUUGCCCUUAGAUUGUGAAGGAAAGGAGGCAGCAUUAUUCUGUACACUAUCAGAACUAGGUUUUACCUGUGAUGUUGAAGUUGGACCAUUCAUUGUCUUCGGAGAACAUCCACCUGGUUGAACUGUUGCAUGCAUUUCUAAACGUGUCUUAGAUAAUAGCUGAUCCACUACUUCUUGUCGUUCCUGUGUAAAGAAGAGUUAACCAUCAAAUGGAUUUGUAAAUUCAAAGCAAAUUCUUGAAGGGCAGCUACAACUCACAUUAAUAUAAUCCUGAUCAGUUAGCCACCAUAAACACUUGUUUGUAAUGUCAUAAACUCGCCGGCACACAAAUGAGCAAAUCCCUGAUGGAAGUUCAACACCUUUUGGAAGGAAGGCAACUUUACACGGAUGGAGUAGUGAUGCAGCAGGAAUUUCAUCCUUGUGAAAGGAAAAGAAUACUUCGUUUGGCGCAGCUUCCAGUAGGAUGCCUUUGCCAAGCUUUAUGUCAGCAGGUCGAUAAAGCCAAUUCACACCUAACUUUAACUUGUUCUCUUUAUCAGUAGUCAGCCUUUGAAUUAUUCCAAUGAAAGGAGGGGAGUCCUGGGGUGGUUUGAACAGAGCAGAGUCUCCAACACUGACCUUGCGUCCAUCCUGUUAAAGGAAAAAAAUAAAACAUAGGGCACUUUAGGUAACUUAUUACAAAUGCAUCUUUAUACCAAUUACAUCAACAAAUGUUCUGCUAAAGUAGAAAAUGUAGCCUGCAUUUUGAUAGCUUAGAUGAUUGAUGAAUGGAAUAUCAUUAACUGGCCAUUAAUAUCAUAACAAAGAUACCAUCAUUAAACCACUAGAUAAUUAACACUAUGAACUUCAUGGAUUAAAAAUCACAGCUUAUGAGUCCUCUUAUCUCAUUUUCAUUCAUUAGAUACUUGAUUAAGCACUUAUCAAUAAAUCUAAGCCAGGCCAUCAUCAGUAAAAGAAAUUACAUACAAAUGCCUCAAUGCAUCUGAUUGUGCUAAGAUGUACUUAUGAGGAGAGAUAAGUCAUUCAAAUUCACACUUCGCACAGCUAAAAGGAACAAAGCAGAGUGUUCCGUCAACAGUCAUAAGAAAGAAAAACAAAAGUGGAAAUUGAACUUAAAACCUACAGCUAAAAAUUUUCACAAAUACAAGAAAAAAUUGUCCCCAAACUGAAUUUAAGCAACAAUAUCAUGUAGCAAUACAAAAAUUAAUUUGUUGUCAUAUUUCCCAAAUUCAACUGAGAAUUGCAAUAACGAACACAAUACUAACUGAAUUGUAGAAUUCCCACGCUAACAAAAAUCAAAGAAAAUCUGAGCCAGCUCCUUUAAUUCCUAAAUCAAACAAAUAACAUCUCCAUCUUUUAUCAAUCAAAUCAGUGAUUGCCCCAUUUUCCAUCAUUCAAAUCCAAAUAACACAGAAGUACGAUGAAUUACAAUCCAAUACCUCUCAUAAUCGAAACCAAGACCCAAAAAAACACAAAAAAUCCCAAAAGAAAAGGAGUACCUUGUAAAAAGAAUCAGCUGAAGAUAACGAAGAAGAAGAAGGAGGAGAAGGGACGAAAUCAGGAGCAGCUACAACUGAAUUGUUGUUAACACGAGUGGGAGCAGUCCACAUGUGCCGAAUACGAUCCUUUUUCCUCUCCUCCUCAGCUUCCCGCCCAUGCAGCAUAGCCUUGCAUUUUUCCUUUCGAGUACCAUCAACCCUUAACCCUAACUCACACUUUCCCCCUCAAUUAAUUCACCAAUUCGAAAACCGUAGAUCCACCCAAGACCAAAAAUAAUUGAAAAACUAAAAAACCCUAGCUUCCGUAGACCAUUUCUAAGUGCAAUUCAAACCCUAAUUUGACCACAAUCAAUUACUUCCGCAAAUCAAUACAUGCGAUCCGUUAAAUUAGAGAUGCUGUUUUGAGUUUGAGAGAGAGAGAGAUAUCGAGAAUCUAGAGAGAGAAAAUCAUGGAGAAAGAAAAGGAGAGCGAGCGAAGAAGAGAAAUCGUAGUGGGGGAGACGGCAAAAAAGGGAAGAUGUACGUGGUAGAUAGACUGAACCAUAAACCCGGACCAAGUCCCUGUCAAAAAUUCUCAAUGGGUCCGGUCUUGCCUCUUUUCAGCCCUCUAAUCUUUCUGGGUUGGGAUUGACCCGGCCAUGAGACAGGUUUUUGGAUAGUAGAAUUAACUGAAUUAAUUUAACUUUUUUUAAAAAAAUAUAUAUACCUAAGAUUUUAAUAUCACUUAAGAAAAAAUUAUAAAAUAAUCUAUGUGUGUGUAUGCUUGCGCAAGUGUGUAUAUAAUAGUUAUUGCAUAUUAAAAAGUUACAAAACAAUUCACAUUAAUUUAAACUAUAUAUAAUUAUCUUAUAUUAAAAAAUUAAGAAACAAUUCAUGUGAAUGUAUGCUAUGUAUAGCUAUCUCUUAUAAAAAAAAUUAAAAAAUAUUUUAUAUAUGGAUAUACUCUCUCUCUCUCCACACACACACAUAGCAAUUUACAUCGAAAAGUUAAGAAAUAAUCCAUGUGGAUGCGAGUUAUAAAAGAAUACAUAAGGCUAAGUAUUUAUAAAUUAAUUUUAUAUAUUUUUUGGUUUUUGAAAAAAUAUAAAAAAUAAAGUUGGGCCCACCAGAGUUACGCUAAAUCACAUGGGUUUCGAGUUGAUUAGACAGGUUGCCCAAGUUUGACUUAGCCAAUUACAAGCUCGGGUUUUACUUAUUUGAAACUCGACCAAGACCCGAGAUUGAGUUUCAUAACAAUGCCUUUUAGAUAUGAUUUAUGGCCCGUUUAUUAAUGUAUUUAAGAGGUGUUUAAGAUUGUGGUGCAUGAUAUUUUUCAAAAUAGCUUUUUGUUUAAAAUGUAUUAAAAUAAAUUUUAUUUUAUUAUUUUUAAUUCCAGCAUAUAAAAACUAUAAAAAAAUACCAAAAAAUAUUAAUUUAAUCUUUUUUUAAGCCAAAAGAACUUUUAAAAAGGAUCUAAAAACAAAAGAAGUGGCGGUGUCAAAUACCCUUUUAAAUAAAAAUAAAAAUAAAAUUAAGAAUUUAAGUUUAAAUUUAAAUUUAAAUAGAAAAAAACUAAUAGGCAUCAAUAAUAUACUUAAGCAUAUGAGAGAUAACAUUGUAGAUUCACAAGAUGUUUUUUUUUAGAUUCUUUUUUUCAUUUUGGUUGCCGAUUUGUUUUUCAACUUUAUCCUUUAAUAUUAUAUUAUUUUAGAAUUGAGCUUUAUUAUUUGUUUUUGUUGGCUUUGUAUUGAACACUCACGAUGUCUGAAAAUAAAAUUGACUCUCGAUGAAUGUUUUAUUUGUCAUAAUUAAAUAAAAUUUAAUUGAAUUAAAACAAUUGAAGUUAUGAAGACCAAGUUUGAAUACUAGAAACGUAUUGAGCCCAUUUUGUCUUGCAAAUAUUAGAGACUGAAGUGCACGAAUAUGGGAGAGAUUAAGUCUUUUUUAUUUUCUUUAUCCCUUAUUUUUCUUAUUUGAUCCUUUUGCAUUGAGUUUUUAUAUUUAUUGGACUUGAUUGUUUUUUUCUAAAUAUGGAAAAUCCCAUAAUAUCGAGAGAGAAAAUAUGAUAUGUGUUUGAUACUCGAAUUUGCAAAACAAAAAUAAAAAUUAUUGAUCUAAAAUAAUUAAGGUUUGAAAAAUCAAGUUUAAAAAUAAAUGCUAGGGACUAAAAGAAAAGGCCACGACAAAUUAAGCUAGUGUGUGAGUGGGAGGUACUUAUAAUGUGUUUUCAUGUGUUCAUAUGAUAUGAUGACACACCCCUUUUUAGAUAGAUUGAUUAACAUUGUAAUUUAUAAUUAUAAUCAUAUUAUAAUUAUUACAAUUACAAAGAAAACUAAAUUUUAUUUUGAUUUCAUUAUACAUAUAGAGAGAACAGAUUAUGGAUUUGUAGUGCUUUCCUCUUUGUUUUUUCCUCUUUAAUUGUUCUAGGGAGAUGUGGCCAAAUGACCACCAUAAUCUUUUCCUCUUUUUUCUACUCUUUCUUCUUCUUCUUCUUCUUCUUUUUCUAAUAGUCACCAGACUAAACUUUACUUCUUUCUUUCGUCUCUUCAUCUUACCUAUCUUUUCUCUCUAAAUCAAUGAUGUGGCCUCUCUUUUAUCAAGAUCUUUAUCACAACAACAUAGCCAACUCCCUUAUCAUCCUAGACUCCCUCCCUCCCUCCCUCUCUCUCCACACACACACAUCCACAACCACAAAAUCAAAGCAAGAGUGUUUUUUAGGUCAUUAUCCAAGCUUUUUUUUGUUUGAUUUUAAUAGGUGUUUGUUGAUUUUUAGGGUUAUUGGUUUAAUUUUUUCUUUUAAAGUUUCUUUGCAUAGGUUGAUUAGAAUGCUUAGUUUUAAGGGAUUAAACUUUUAUAUAUAUAUAUAUAUAUAUAUAAAGAAAUGUGUUUGUCUUUUUAUUUUGUGAAUGUUUGCCCAUUGCUACGAGGUUUGUGAUAGAUCUUCUUCAUGUUUUUUGUUACUUGGUUCUGUGGUUGGUGUUAUAUUGUCUUCUCUGACAAUUUUUUCCCUACCUUACUUGGCAAGUCUUGCAUUGGUUCUUUUAUUUCGAAGCUUGUUCUGUUUCUUUUUUUCUUUCUAUGCAAGGCUAUUAUUCUUUAAGACUACGGCUAUGAUAUGCAAUAUAAGUCUCUUUUAAAUUUUUCUCAUUGGUUAUUGAGUAUGUAUGUUGUUUGUUUUAUCGUUGGAUAUGUUCAUUUUUCCCUUAUGUCUUUUUAGUUCAAUUGUGUGUUAUAUUCAUUGUUUGUUGUUUGAGGGCCUAUUGGAUGUCUUCUUUUUUAUGUUCUUUUCUUUGUUGUGACAUUGAUUUUUUGUUUUUUUGGAUGCAUAUUUCAGUGCUUUUUAUUUGCUCUUGAAUAUUUUAUGGCUUUGUUUUCUUUCUGUUGUUUAUUUUUGUUUGCUUCAUGUUAUUGGCUUCUAGGUUAUGGGUGGGUUGUUUAUUUUCUAAAGAUUCAACAUGUCUAAAGGUGUUUAAGGUAGGGGUGGGGGUGUGGCUUGUUUAUAGAGGUUUUUGUUUGAAUAAUAGCUUUUAGGAUUUGAGUUUGUUCAGUUGGUUGGUUAUUUUAUCAUUCUUAGUAAUCCUACACCGGUUUGUUGGUCGAUCAUGCAAUUUUUUUUAUGAAUUAUUCUAUUUUACAUUUAUAAUCCCUUUUUUUUGUGAAUGUUUUUUUAUUUGUGUUUACAUCCAUUUUCAACCUUUAUAUUUGGUAUUCUUGUUUUUAAAUAGAGGCUGUCAUUUUCUAGUUUUGUCUUUUAAGAAUCACUACCUUAAUAAGACUUAAAAUCUCUACCAUAUUUUUAGUAAGUUGUAAAAUUGUUAUUUUAAGGCUACACAUUUGCUUUAAUAAGUUAAAUAUGUUUUUUUCAUUGUGUGUUUCUAUCUAUCUUACGCAUUUAAACUUUGAUUUCUUUCUUGAUGAGACUUGGCAUGUAUUUAUAAUGCUUUAGAAUCUUUCUUUUUGGUUUAAUAGGGUUGUUCAUAAAAAGGCGGUUAUCUAACUUAUUAUUUCUCAAUGUUUUUUUUUCUUUCAUCUUUCUAGGCAUGUCAUUAGCUGUCUAAUAAGUUUUUUUUUCUCUUUUUAUCUUUGUGGUUUAAAAAAGUAGUUUUUAGAAUUUUAUUUUUAUAUGGAUUGUCAUUUUUAUAUCUGUGUUUUUUUAGGGAUAAUAGUGUUAAAGUUAUUUGCUUUCAUGAUUAGUUUCUUCAUUUUGUAGUGUGCUUAUGCAUGUGGUUUUUUUUUUGUAUACAUUUUUUUGGUGGGUUAAGGGUAUUGAAUUAUGUAAUAGCGAGUUAGUUGCAUAAUAUAUUUUUAUUUUUUAUUUAUUGUACAUUAUAUGUUACAUGCUUUAUGGAUUGCAUAUUUAGUUUUUCUCAUCAUUUUUUCUGAUCUUAUUUUGUACAACAUCCUUAAUAUUACCUUUUUAUUUGGGUCAUUAGAAUGUGUUUAUUUUGCUUAAUUUUUUUGUUGUUGUCAUGGCAAGCCUGACAUGCUCAACUAUGAUUUUUUUUUUAUUUCAUGUUAUCACUAGGUUUAAAUGACUUUUAUUAUGGUUGAUGUUUAUGCCAAUUAUUGUCAGCUAGUCUUUUAGGUCUGAAUGUCUUGGCAUGUUAUGAAAACAUUACUUGCUUAACAUUAUCCUCAAGUUUGCACCCUUUAGGAGAAUUAUAAGAUAGGUAAGACACCUAUAUACCUCAUUAUAAGGCAUAUUUUGGGCUUGUCAAACCAUCAAUUUGGAUUUUCCAUGAUCUAUAUAUUUUUUCCCAGUACUAGGAUUUGUGACUUCAUCAUUUGUCAUGGCCAAUCAACCUUUUUCUUUUGAAGCUCUUCCUUUCGAAUAAACCCACUAUGAUUUGAGAUAACAAAUAUUAUAUUGAUUUUAAGGAAUAGAUCAUCAUCCAUUUUUAUCAUAUUUUUUUAGAACAUGAAUGCAUCUAAAUUCUAAAGUUGUCUAGAUUUGAUUCCUAAUUACUACGUAACUAUUGUUGUAUUUCCAAAAGUCAUGCCAUUUAUAAUAUUAUUUCCUCUUGAUUUGAUUAAUAAUAAGGAUAAUAUGAUUGCUAAAGAGCUUAAUUUUUACCCACACAUCAACUGAUCAAGAUCUUUUUAACUCUUUUAAUAUUAAAAAUAUAUUUAUUAUAUUUAAUUGCUCUGAAAACUUUGACUUUUUUGUUACCAAGUUUGGGAGCCUUUUUAGAUUUGUUUUUUUAAUAUUGUGAUCUUAAAUGGUCUUUCGUACUUUAUUUCAGUAACUUAUAUGAGUUGCUAUUAAACCUCCUUAAAUUUUUUAUUAGAAUCUAAAUUAAUUAGUGGAUAAACAUUCACAACAUUGUAUAAAUAACCAAUAAAGUAAGUCCCCCUUAAUGGUUUCUCUUUUACCUAUUUUACUAGCAUUUUCUCAUAAUAGGCAACAUUAUUUAUAAGGGUAUAUAUGUCUAAAAACUUGGUUCCUACAAAACUUUUCCUUAUGUUUAACUACAUUCUCACUAGCAAUAACUUCAUGUACUUUUACUUAAAUAUAACUAUAGUGAAUUUAGUUUUUAAUAUCUUAAAUUGUAAGAUAUAGUUUUCUAUUACCUCUUUUAGGUCCUAUACUAUUUUAACCAGGUCAUAUAAUGUAAUCUCUUAUAUUAUUAUAUAAAAGUGUUCAUGAAAAUGAGUUUCAUCUUUUUCUAAUUGUUGAUCGAGUUAGGUGGCAAUGUGGAGUAUUAGUGAAAAGCUAUUUUGGUUACUGAUAAACCAAACGACUUUAGCUUCAUGAAAGGGUUGACUGCAUUAUCACUAUAAUGAUUAGUAAAUUAGUGAUGUGUGUCGCAUGUCGAAAAAAAUCAUCCACGCGCGGCAUCGGCUGACGAUUUAACUCUCGUUGUUGUUGUGUUUGCUUUGAUUGGUUCGUUGGAGUCGCCACCUAGUAAUUCAUUGAGGGCUACUAGGAAACCUGAUGUACUGGUCUCGUCAGAGAUCGCGAGUAAGGGACUGGUUGUGGUUAGAGAAGGUAUUAGCACCCUAACGCACCCUACCUGAGGUAAGCUGCUUCGUAGCUUUGACGUGUUAAAGAAGUUUUAAUAAUUGUCUUUUCAUCGAAAAUUAGAAAUAUUACUUACGUAUAAGUUAAUAAUUCUUAACCGUGAUCUGAUCAAAAUAUUAAAUUCUUCUUUAAUAUAUUUGCAAUUUUAUCAUUAAAAAUAUAUACAAAUAAAUAAAACAAAAAUACAAACACACACAUUCACUUUCACUAUUUUUAUUUCUUUUCUUUUCUUUUCUUUUCUUUUCUUUUACAUCCACUAUACAAAUACAAAUUCAAAAUAAAUAAAUAAAAAUUACAUUAAUUAAUUUAAAAAUUACAAAAUAGUCCCUAGAACUCCAGAAAUUGCAGGGAAGGACUUCUGCCACCAGCUGGAACAGUGGUGGCGCGUCUCCCCACGCGCCGCCGUCACUGGCGGCGCGUGGGUUCACGCGCCGCCGCAAGAAAAACACAGCAACAUGGGGCUGGAUUGACUUCUUCCCAUCAUCCUUUCGUCGCCGGCGGUGACCUGCAAAGCAAACCCCAAACACAGCAAGCAAUUGAUUUUAGUUUUUUGUUUUAGAUCUGCUUUUAAUUUUUUGUUUUCUCCGAUCUGCUCCUUCUUCAGAUCAUCUUCUCCCUGGGUCAGUUCGUUAGGGGCUCCGUCUUCUUCUCCUCUGCUCCGGGUUCUAGAUCGGGCGGCGCUGCAAAGGGGUCGCGGAUGUGGUUGCUGUUGCUGUCGUCCGUCCGGCGGUUGAAACCACAGUGGAGAUGGGCUUGCUGUCGAUGUUCAGGCGGAGGAACGGACCGAUCGGGGUCUGUGGGCGUCGCUGUUGAUGGUUGAGAGGAGCGCCGCCGAGAUGGAGAGUGGAUUAUGGGUCUGAGAACGGCUCUGCCCGUUCGCUGGUCGGUGGAGGUGAGGCUGUUCUGUUGGGUGACUUGGGGGAAGACCGGCGUUGAUGGAGAGGCUUGAGGGAAAGGCUUAGAGUGAGGGGAGUAUGUUCUGUCAAAGUGAAGGGGAGAUCGGGGGAAAGCAGAGGAGGCUAUUGAUGGAGGACCGACUGAGGAAAAGGGGUUGAACGACAGGUUUCAGAGAGGAAAAAAAAAUCAAAACCGGGGAAAAGGGGGGAAGUUUCAGUGGUGGUGUGGAAGGGAGAGUGAGGGCUGUUUUGUGAGGGUGAGGCUGGUUCGGUGGUGCUGCUUGUUGGGAGGAGGAGAAGGGGGUAUGGCCGGGGAAGAAGAGCUUCAAACCGGCUAGGGGCUGCUGUUUUGGCCGGUUCAGGGAGAAGAGAAAAAAAUUCAAAAGGUGAGGGGCUGGUUUGGGUGAGCGGCUGCGAGUAGAAAAAAAAAUCUUUUAGGUUUAGGGUUUUUUGUUUUGUGUUGUCUCUCCCCCCAAUCUCAAAAUUGCCCCCCCUUUGUUUGAGUUAAAGACCAGUAUUUAUAGGCAGAAUGUUGCUAGGUUUUUCAACUUGGUCCCUCAACUUCUUUCUUUUUUUUGUAAAUUUUGAUUUUUCUUAUUUUUUUGUAUUUUUUGAAAAUGAGCAAUGUCAACGUCGACUCAAUGAGAAAAAUCAAUGAUUUUAAAAAUGACGCGUGAAAAGUCGAACGCGUUUGAAAAUUAAAUUCUUUUUUUUAGACGACGUUGAAAAUGCUAAAAUGACGAAAAUAUAUUAAAAAACAUAUUUUUUUUGGAUUUUCUUUGUUUUUCUCUAUUUUUGAAUUUUUUUGAAAAUAUAUCAAAAACAUGGGUCAAAAAUUGGGUAGUAACAAUGUGCUUCCUUCUUGAUUGUUUAUGCUUUUAGAAAAAAUUAUUUGAAAUCAAUAAUUUUUAUUUCUCUAGUGAUCAUGUACAAUUUAUUAACCCAUUUAGAGUAUAAAUACUUGCAAACAAAUCUUAUUGUUCCUCGUACUUUUAGUCCUAUCUCUUUUAAAUGUUGGUUUAGUUAUGCUCUAUUUAUCCAUUUUCUUUGUUGCUGAUAUAUAGAAGGGAAUUGUUAUGCUAGAAAAUUGAGGUUCCCUUAUUGUAAAAUAGGUUAUUGGGUAUAGAAUUGCCUAGUAACAAGUUAUAUUAUUUGAUAGAAGCUAUGUAGGGCUAAGUAGUUGGCUUAUGGUUGUUUGUAAGCUUGAGAAACAAUUGGCUUAUCAUGAGUUAUCAUGCUAGGGUUAAGCUACAUCUUUUAUUGUGCUUGAUAUGUUAAAGAAUACCUUUUUUUAUAAUAGGCAUACUCAAUCCAUACAACUUUAAUAGAAUGCUUGUUAUUAUAGAAUCCCUACGAUUUUCCUCUUAGAAGUGUAUACUUAUGUUGUAAGGUCUUUUCUAAUAAAGUUUAUUUUGUAACUUAUUCAACUACUAAGAUAUGCAUGCAUAUUCGGUUUACCACAACUAUGUUGUUGUGACAGGUUAUGAUAAUUAGUUUCCCCAUGUCUAUUUAAAGAGCUGUUAUAUCAACAUUAGAGAGAUUUAUAUGUUGAUAAUAAGAUUUUUUUUGUAAGCCCCUAUAAAAUGAAUGAAUGAAUUUAAUUAAUUGAAGAAGAGGUCAUUAGUGAGGCACAAAAUUCUUAACUUAAAGUCUAAAGGUAAACAGAAGUAAAAAGAGAAGGAUAAAAUGUAUAAAGACGAGAGUAGGGCCUAUUGCGAGAAACAUAAAUAAUUAAGGACUAGAUUAAAAAGACAUGAAUAAGUGAAGGACCAAAAAAAGAAGAGAAAACCCGUCAGCCCUAAGAAGAACAAGAGUUUGACGACAGAAAACAAAAGAAAAAAGAGAGGGAGCCAUUUUCUUCUCUAUCACUUAUCUCUAAAAGAUAUUGUAAAGAGAAACACAUGUAAAUCAAUUCUUGAGAGUAUUAGGGAGGUUUGAGUGAAGACAGGUCAGAUUGGAAGCUAUUGGACAAAAUUAAUGUCAAACUUUAAAUUGAAAUUGAGAUUCACAAAUGAAAAAAUUUGAGGUAGAAAAGUAAGGUUGUAUAUUACAUGGCAUAUUUAUAUACCAUUGUAUUUUAAUGAGUUUAAGUGUGUAAAUGGAAAAAUUAGGUUUAACCCUUUUCACCAAAGUUGUGUAUUUGUGUCUUAGCAUACAAAAAAAAAACCCUUGUUUAAAAUUGAGUUCAACAACUCUGGCAAGGAGUAAAUAAACAGUGUUUUGAUGCCUUGUUAUAAAUUGUUAAACAUAGUGAGUCUAAGUAUGAAAUUAAAAUUAUUUCUUAUAAAAGGAAUGGGUAUUUGGAUUGUAAAUAAUGUAUUAAUAGAAAGUAUUUGUAUGGUUUAGGGGGGGAGGACAAGAUCUUUUGUUGAUGGAGCUCACUCGACUAGAGGAGAAGGUAUGUAGAGUCUUACAUAUAAUUUUAUGAUGUCAGUUAAGCUUUUUGUUGUAACUAUAAAUGCUAUGUAUGAAUGAAUUCAGAUGAAUUGUAAAUAGUUGCGUGAAAUAAAAAUACGAUUGGAUUGCUUUUGCUAAAGUAAAAACCAAUGUUGUGAUUGUUUUUGAAGUUGUUUGAAAACAAAUAUGAUGGAGUUGCUUUCGCCAAGAUGAAAGCCAAUAUUGUGAUUAUUUCUAAAGUUGUUCGUAAAUAAAUGUGAUUGGGUUGUUUUCGCCAAGAUGAAAGCCAACAUUGUAAUUGUUUAUGAAGUUGUUUGGAAACCAAUGUGAUUGGAUUUCCUUCGUAAAUACAAAAAUCAAUGUUGAAAUUGUUUUUCAAAGUUGUACGGAAGACAAUAUGAUUGAGUUGCUUUUUCUAAGACAAAAACCAAUGUUGUGAAGUCUCUAAAAUUGCUUAAAGACUAAAUAUGUUUUGGUUAUUUUUACAAGCACGAAGGCCAAUGUUAUGGUAUUGCCUAAGCUAUUUUGAGAAUUAUGAUAAAUUAAGUUGUUUUCAAUAAACCAAAGGUCAAUAAUAAGUCAUGAUGAAAUAUUUGAUAACUAUGUAAAUCAAAGUACACUAAUUGACUUGAACUUGAGAGUAAGACCUUACUCAUGUUGAGUACAAAUACCUUGAUGUAUUAUUAUUGUGAAAUUUAUAACUAUUGUUCAUGAAAUUUUCUAUAGGAUUGGAUAAUAAGAAUUGAUGCUCUCACUUUCAUAUAUGUUUAGAAGACAAAUUAUAUUGUAAUACGAACUUAUUCUUAAUAUUUUUUUGUUACAAGACCUUUUCGUAUCAGCAAACCUAAUUGUUAGGUUGUAGUUGGCCUUUAGAUUCAGAACUUAUUUUGUACAUGUAAAUAAUUUUGUAGACCUAACUAAAAGCUCUCUCUUACUAUCUCUCCUUCUUUAAUGAUAUUUUCUAUCUAUGUUUGGAAUUGUGUAUAAAAUCCAUAUAUAAAAUAUUAUUAUGCAAGUUGGUGUAUAUCCUUACAUGAAUUUUCCAUGGUAGGCAUCAAUAAUAUAAUCACAUUGUAUGUUGGACAUUAAUUUUAAUUCAUAUAAAAAAAUAAACAAAUAAAAAUAAAAGGUACACAUAAGUAGUAAAUGGAUUCAUUAGAGAUUGAGUAAAGUAAGCACAAUAUAUACAUUCAUGGAAGAAAAGUUUAAAACAUGUGAUUAGACUGUACUUUUUUAAUAAUUCAAAAUAUAAGGGUAUGAGAUUGGAUUUAUUACUCUCUUAGAUUUUAUUUAUAAUUAAUUUUUUAUGGGAUGAACAUGAUGUAACUAAUUAAUGGUACAUAUAUAGUAAAGGUUGAAAGAAUAUAUGGGGUUGAUUUUUGGUUGAAAUGAUGUGAAAUAAGGUCUAGGAUAAUUGAACCAUGUUUGUAUUAAUGACUUGUAACCAUAGUUAUUAAACCCGGCCCGGCGGGUCGACCCGGGACCCGGUCGACCCGGUGGCUGGACCGGUUCGGGUUUAAUAAAAGACCGGCUGUGGCAACAGCCCGGCCAAACCCGGGCGACCCGGCGGGUCGACCCGGGACCCGGGCAAACCCGGACGAGACCCGGGUUUUUUUUUUUUUUUUUAAUUUGGGAUAAAAAAAAAUUUGGUUUAAAUAUUUCAACUUAAAAUGAUAACAUAGUAUCUUUUCAAUGUGGGCUUUGAAGCCCUUUCAUAUAUAUACUCUAUGUUCCCAUGAAAAAAGUUAUGUUUUUUCAAUGUGGGAUUUGAAACCCAUUAGUAUAUAUACUCUAUGUUCCCAAGGAAAAAUUCAUGUUUUUCCAAUGUGGGAUAAAAAACCUUUUGGUUUAAAUACUUCAACUUAAAGGGAUAACAUAGUAUCUUUUCAAUGUGGGAUUUGAAGCCCUUUCAUAUAUAUACUCUAUGUUCCCAUGAAAAAAGUUAUGUUUUUUAAACCAAAAUGUUUUUUAUCCCACAUUGAAAAAACAUGAUUUUUUCUUUAGGAACAUAGAGUAUAUAUACUAAUGGGUUUCAAAUCCCACAUCGAAAAACAUAACUUUUUUCAUGGGAACAUAGAGUAUAUAUAUGAAAGGGCUUCAAAUCCCACAUUGAAAAGAUAUUAUGUUAUCCCUUUAAGUUGAAGUAUUUAAACCAAAAGGUUUUUUAUCCCACAUUGGAAAAACAUGAUUUUUUCCUUGGGAACAUAGAGUAUAUAUACUAAUGGGUUUCAAAUCCCACAUUGAAAAAACAUAACUUUUUUCAUGGGAACAUAGAGUAUAUUAUGAAAGGGCUUCAAAGCCCACAUUGAAAAGAUACUAUGUUAUCCUUUAAGUUGAAGUAUUUAAACCAAAAGGUUUUUAUCCCACAUUGAAAAAACAUGAUUUUUUCCUUGGGAACAUAGAGUAUAUAUACUAAUGGGUUUCAAAUCCCACAUUGAAAAAAUAUAAUUCAACUUAAAAUACUUCAACUUAAAAGCUUAACAUAAUAUCUUUUUAACGUGGGAUAAAAAACUUUUUAAAAUAUUAUUUUAAACUUGAUUAUUUAUAAUAUAUAUAAUCUAUAUUUACAUGAAUUUUUUCAUAUGAAAUAUUAAUUUUUUUUUAAUUAUUACGGGUUAAUCCAGGUCAACCCGGGUUGACCCAUGAAACCCGAGACCCGGCCCCUUGGCCGGGUCAACCCCCGGGCCGGGUUUAAUAACUAUGCUUGUAACAUGGAAGGAGUAGUUGAUAACUUGGUAUGUUAAAAUAUAGAUGAAACUUUGUAAAACUUUUAGUAGAGUUGUUAAUAAAUAAAGGAGAAUGACUACAUGUAUAAGUGUAAAAAAACAAAUUGCCAUUAUAAAGGCUUAUAUUCGAUGGAAAUAUGUAAAAUUUUAUGUUUUAAUAUCCUCUUUUUGGCAGGGGUGUUACAAUAUUUUUAUAAGCAACCUUGUUGGUUGGCUGGAAUUUACCACAACUAGUUGUGAUCAUCAUACCACACCAUUUGAUCUAUAUAAUAUAUGUAUGUAUGGUUAUGUAUGGGGUAUUGAUUAAUCAAUGUGGUAAUCUAAGGUUAGUGUUGAUGACUUUAUUAGAAUCGAUAAACGUAUAUGACAUCAUAAAGACACUAGAAGUGUGUUCAGAUGUAAUUUUGUGUUAUAAUGGUGAGUUAGAUGAUAAAGACCCAUCUUUGGGCACGUCUGUCACUGGUUGAUCCCCUAGAAUCUAGAGAAAUAAUAGGUUUUUAGGUUAUUCAUAGUUAAAAUGCUAGCAUGUCUCUGUUGCUUGUGCAAACUAUUCAUUUCGAGCAAUAUAGAUGAGUUUACCUAUAUUUUUUUAUAGGCGUGUUUUAAUGGCUUCUAGAAUAUAUUUUGAAUUCUUAUCCCAUUGGUCAUGCCAAUCUUUUAUGUUGUCAAUUAACUAUACUUAGAAUUGAAUCUUCGAUGAGGUAACAACUACCUCUAACCAAGCAAAGUGAGGAUUCUAGACCUUGGACACUCAAUAAAGGUAAUAUGUACUUAAAACAUCGAUGUGCAAAGAAAACAUGAGUUAUAAAAAAGAAUGAAUGAAAUUUAAGUGUUGAAAAAUAACAAAGCAUUAAGAAAAAUAAUAAAGGUGAUAAAACCAUCCAAGGAUAAAAAGGGUUAGAAUUUCAAAAUUUUGAAUAUAUAGGGUUGAUCAUCAUUUAAAGUAGUAUAUGGCUCUAUUUAUAUUAUUACAAACUUUGGAUCUUACUUACAUAAGUAAUUCUAACCCUAUUGAUGCAACCAUAUUAUUCUAUAGUUUUACACACAUUUACCUAGUAUUUUGUUCAUGUUUUAUAUAUAAAAUACCUUGGUAAUCUUUGUUUUAUAUUUUGAAUGCACUUUUGGAUGUGAGAUUUGAAAAGAAGUAAAUCAAAAAUAAAAUUCAAACCAUGUUCCAACCCGUGUCAAAUAUUAGCAGAUUUGACAUCUGAUCAAUGUUUUAUGCAGAAUUUGAGUUGUAAAGGUUGAAAUGAAGUGAUUCUAGUGUAAUUAGAAAGUUAACAUCCAUACCUUUCUAUGCAUAUAUGGCAAGAAAAAAAAACAAAGAAGAUGGAAAUCGCAGCCUUUAAAGACAAGUCUCACAUUUUGCCAGUUUUGACAUUUGGUCAUUCCAACUUGAAUAUCUUGAGUUAAAGAAGUCCAUUUGAUGCAAACUUAAUUUUUUUGGAUUCCUGACUCAAAGACCUAUUAUCCUACCAAAUUUCAGAAGAAAAGGAGCUCAUAUGAGAAUUAUGUGAUUUUUCUAAAACAACCUUUAAAUUCUGUCAACAAACAGGUUUUGUAAAGAAAUAAAUCUAACUUACUUAAAUGUAAAUUGUUUACUUUGGAAAUGACUAUUUUUAUAUUUUUUAGGAGUGUACAAACGGAUUGGAGGGAUAUGGGGAUUAGGGUUUCCUAUCAAAUAAAAAAGAAAGAGAGAAAGAAAGAGAGGGGGCGACCAGAAAGAAAAAGAAAAACUCCACCCUUUUCUCUUAUACUCAAAAUUAAGGUCUCAUAUGUUCUAUUCAUUAGUUUUUCAAUAGAAAUGCAAGGCUAAGUUAUUUUUCUUGGUUGAAAGGAUACAUAAACUUUCGAAUUUCAAAAACUGUAAGAUCUAUUCUAUCUUUUCUUUUUUAUUUAUAUGAUGAGUAUGAAUGUUUUUCUAUGUUUAUUUUCUAUGAUUGCUUAGUUGGAUUGUUACAGCAGACUCUAAAUUAUUAUUCUAAACCAAUCUACAGCUAAGUUUGCUAUCAAGACCAAAGUUGUGAUAUUUGAACUUGUGAAGCGAUAAAGCUUAAUAAUCAAAACCAGAGUUUUAAUCUUAGGAAAAAAGUCCAAUUCAAUCGAACAUAAAUUGCAUACAGUUAUGUUGUCUAGACUUAUCAACCUAUCUAGUUCUUAAGGCUGCCAUUAAAUUAAAUUACUAGUGCGGACACUGUGAUUGUUUAAUGGUUAGCGUUAGUUACACUUCGGAUCGGUUAACUAACUAAUGUUAAGAAAAGAUGGAUAUUCAGAAUAUAAAUCGACGUAUCGUUUCAGUGAUCAAUUUUGAUUUAUGUAGGUGGAUUUUUACUUGAUAUUAAGGUUUUUCUCUUAAUAAGUUUCAGAUUUAUUAAUUUAGCUUGAUUAGUUUGUUCUGUUUACCAUAUCAUAGUCUAGAUAACCUCAAAACUCCAUAACUUUAACUCAUCUAGUAUAAAGACAUGAACUAGAUCUUCUUCGUGGGGUCGACCACUUACUUGCUCUAUACUAUCUUGUUUUUUAAAUUAGGAUAAUUAAUUUAUAUGACUGUGACUUUGCAAUAAAUUUUGAUAUUAUUGUCAGGAAAGUGAUUCUAGUUGAUUCUUGUGCUGUGAUUGUUAUUUAUUUUAUUUAAAAAAACAGAUAUAUAUGAAUUCUAGCAUAAUCUCUGACUUCUUAUUAAUCAUUAUGUUAAGGAUUCGCAUUUUGAAUAACACUAUAAAUGCUUGGUUAUACAUACAUCCAUACUUCAUUGGUUGAUCACUUCCUUUUGAGCGAUUGUGACUUUUAGUCUCUUGGUGGACUAGUUAACUGCUCCAUCUACUUUUUUAAGUUGAUCAAUAACUCUUUCAUCUCAGUCAAUUCUUCUCAUUCAUGAUUAAUUUUAAGCUCUUUUCCUAUUUUGCGAUGAAAAAUCAUUGUUAUCUACCUUGUGUAAACAGAUUGACAAAGAGAGAGGGAGACACAAAAGUCAUAGAUUUAAUAUUUAUUCAUCGUGCAAAGGUUCAAAUAGGUGUAUUGAGACGUAUUAUGGAAGAGCCAACAAGAACAAGAUCUCAUGGAGAUUAUUGGUUCAUUGUGCAAUAUAAAGGUUUUAAUAGGUGUAUUGAGAUAGAAUGUUUGGAAAGAUCAUACCACCCAUAGCCAAUGGUAUUUUGUUGGAAUGUAACCACGGGAGGGAAAGAAAAGGAGAGAGCGUCCCACCCAUAGCCAGACUUUAUGGAAGCAACAGCCCCAAAUUCAGGGGUUGCAACGUUGCCUGAUACUUGAGCAUCAGCACGCCAUCAAAGCCGUUGGAUUUAUUAAUAUGCAAUUGCUAUAAGAUUGGGUAGACCAAAAACACAAGCUAGAAGAACCAAGAUAAAGAUAGUUUGAAAUGAUUUAGGUUUUAAUGCGCAACACCAUGCCCAUUCUUAUCACCUAACGCCUCCAAAAACAUGAACCUGCAACACCUGGCACCUGUGCUUCAUAAAAUCACGGAGACAACCCUUGACCUUAAAGAUUUUUGAGAUGCAAACUCUGGAUCAGAUUUCUCCGAUUAUGGUAGUUCAAAAGUUUUAAUUUGAAUCUCAGUCCUCAAAAUUGAAACCUGAACAAAAAUACAAAUACAAUUUCCAUAAUGAACCAUCCUCGCAAAGCUUCAACCAAACUUAUGUGACACAGAAAAAUUGAACUCUAAUAACAGGUACCUCUUAUCCUUGAAGACAAUCCAGCACCAAGACACUGAUGGCACAAAGGCCAAUUUUCAGACAUGAGAGCAGGAGCAAUAUUUUUGAACAAAUAUGGGCCAGAAAUGGGAAAAUGUCAUAAACAAACCUCUAUUAGUUUAGAGUUCAGACACGAUUAUGCGAAGGUAGUAGCAAAGUUGGGUAGAACUCGGUGUGUAGCAAAUAAUCUUCACCAGGUUCAAAAAUAGAAUAAAUUAAAAGGAAUACAGCAUCCAACUAAACUAUAUGCCAGAGCAUGAAAGGCUUGAGCACCAAAAUUCAUGAACCAGUCUGCUUACAUGUACGUGUUUAAAAGAGAAAAUGAAAAGAUAAAUGAAGAAAGAUUGCUUAACAACAAAGCACAUACAAAGGGCUCCUAAUUCUCAGAAUGGUUGGAAAAGGAUGAUUUUGCAUCCAGCAGUAUAAAUUGUCGAUCCGAUAGACAUAAGGACACCAAUUUCAAAUGUCUGGGCAACAGAGUCACAGAAUGCAAGUUUUCCAUUGGUUAAAAUAUCUACAAAGGGGACGGUGAACUGAGCCACCCAGUACAAAUUCAAGAAUAUAACACUGAACGACCCUGGAAAGAUUCCUUUUUUAAGGUACAACGUUACAGCGCCAGGGUGGUGGUUGGAGAUUGAACAUCAAAUAACUCACUUACCACCCAUCCUUGAGAUCACAAGUUAGACGAUCUUUUGGAGUUAGCCAACAUCCAACCAGGAGAACUGUAAUUGAAAACACAACGAAAAUAUAAACACAAUUACUUGACCUGUGAACAGGAAACUAAGUGCAACUCAUGCCCAAAAGAAUGCAAGUUAAAAAAAAAAUUCCCCCCUCCACUUGAUCAGAAAAGAAAAGGCUAUAGCGCAGCUUCAAAUCAUAAAACACAAAGAGCACAUAUAUUUACAGAACAUGACAAAAACUUACAGGUGGAUCACUGCAUUGUGUCAUUAUUCAUCCCUUCUGCCACGAGGAUUGCUUAUAACCAUCCCAUCCACCCUCUGGUUCCUUCCUCUUAAGAAAAACUCCACUGGUCGCCUGAUACAUCCUCGAUAGCUCCUCUGCAUGGGCUUGUGAACUGGCAACAGACAGCUGCCUCGAUGCAAGAGCUGGGGUCUCAUUUCUACCUUCAAUAUCUGCACCUAGAGGCCCGGCAUUGAGAUCUAGACCCUGCCUUACCCAUUUCCUACUGCUCUCCACAGCACCAUUAUUGUUACUGUCUGGGAGGUUAACAGCAUAAGGCCUUGGAUAAUGGGAUGAGACCACACCAACUUGCGCUACUACUUGAGAAGGUACUGUGGGAAAGCAAAGCCUCCCUCCAGAUGAUGAAUCCACAUACGAUGCUGAACCACCUGAAAAUGUUGCUGAGGGAAGAGGGAAGUUGGUCCCAAAAGGAAAGACAGGAUACUGAAAAGGAGUAGAUGGAAAGGGCACUGCUGGAGAGGACGACAACACUGCUCCCCUGUAGACAUCAGGAUUAAAUGGGUUGCUGCCAGUAGAGGAAGCUAAGAUCCGUUGAGGCCCACCAGUUGCAACUAUAGGGAAAGGCUGAUCUCCUCUAUCAUGCAAGAUAGAUUGGAUUGUGACAGCAGGAUACGGAUUCCCUUGAGGAAACCAGGACGGGAAAUUUCCCAUUUCUGUACUGUUCAUUCGAAGGCUAGAAAUGGAUGGUUGGGAUGGCACAAUGUUUUGGGUAUGCCGCCCAAGUUGUGAUGGUUCAGCACUCACCUCAUCGACAAGAGGGCCAUCAUUCAAAUCGAAGUCCCAGCAACCACCAACCUUUCCAUUUAGAAAACCACCAGAUGAUUUGGCGGGAUGUUGAGGGGCAUCCAGCCUCCGGCCAAUGCUUGUUAAGUGAUUACCAAUAUCACUAGCUUCAUCUGCUCUAUUCAAAUCAAGAUCAAGUCCCCCAGAGCUUCGAACAGAUAUUGAACCCAUCAGUGCAUCACGUGCACAAUCAUUAUUCUUUGCAAGGUCAGAAACAGAAACUGCCUCCUGAGCAGAACUUCGUGAAGCCAAAUCCUCAAGGAUUCUUUCAUCAGGAACAUUCAAGUCAAUAUCUAACAGGGGGCGACCAGGCUUGGAAACCAUUGCAUCAGGUAGUGAGAUAUUAGCUGUACCUAAUGGAAACUCCAAAGCUUUUCUAGGUUCAGCUGGCCGAAAUGCACUUGUGGCUGCCGAUCCCUUCCAACCAAGCUCCCGUCUACUCUUCAGUAGAUCCUCUGGUGGAACAAAGGGCCCUUUUGCAGCAGCGGCUACUGUAAUGGAAGCAGGAAGCCCACUAGACACAGAAGAAACAGGUAACGGCAAAGGGCUAACUAGCUGAAUCGCAGAAGAGCAUCCAGGUGCUCUCAAGUCACUCGACUCCCCAUAUUUCCCAUCAUCAGAAAUAAAGCCUUCAUUCAGAUCAAAUUCAACUUUUGCUUCCAGAU
rnacentral:lncRNA from 1 species